UGGCUUAGCUGAUUAAAGCAUGGUGCUAAUAACACCAUGGUUGUGGGUUCAAUCCCUGU
rnacentral:tRNA from 1 species